GAGCGAAUGGAUUAAGAGCUUGCUCUUAUGAAGUUAGCGGCGGACGGGUGAGUAACACGUGGGUAACCUACCCAUAAGACUGGGAUAACUCCGGGAAACCGGGGCUAAUACUGGAUAAUAUUUUGAACUGCAUAGUUCGAAAUUGAAAGGCGGCUUCGGCUGUCACUUAUGGAUGGACCCGCGUCGCAUUAGCUAGUUGGUGAGGUAACGGCUCACCAAGGCAACGAUGCGUAGCCGACCUGAGAGGGUGAUCGGCCACACUGGGACUGAGACACGGCCCAGACUC
rnacentral:rRNA from 1 species